UACUAGAGUAGCACUCGCAUAUCAAUAAGCGGAGGAAAAGAAACUAACAAGGGUUCCCCUAGUAACGGCGAGUGAAGCGGGAAGAGCUCAAAUUUGAAAUCUUAAAGGGUUUCCCUUUACGAAUUGUAGUUUAAAGAAGUGUUUUCUGUUGAGGUUUUGGUAAAAGUUCUUUGGAAUAGGACAUCAUAGAGGGUGAGAAUCCCGUAUUUGACCUUUACUUUCAACUUUGUGAUACACUUUCAAAGAGUCGGAUUGUUUGGGAAUGCAGUCCAAAAUGGGUGGUAAAUUUCAUCUAAAGCUAAAUAUUGGCGAGAGACCGAUAGCGAACAAGUACCGUGAGGGAAAGAUGAAAAGAACUUUGAAAAGAGAGUUAAACAGUACGUGAAAUUGUCAAAAGGGAAGCGUUUGACACCAGUGUUGUUUUUCUGAAAAUCAAUUAAAGAACUGUUUAUGCUAAGCUGUUUAGACUUUAUCAGCUAUCUGUUUAGUUUUGAGCUUUUCUUUAAUGCACUUUUCAGUUAACAAGUCAACAUCAAUUUCUUUUGCUGUAAAAAAGCUUGAGGAAGGUGGCUUGAGAUUCAUCUUAAGUGUUUAUAGCCUCUUGCCUAUGCAGUCGGAGAGAUUGAGGUCUGCAGCGUAGAUCCUUCGGGGCUAAAUGCAUUUGUGCUAAGUUAUAGCAUUUUAUAGAUAACUUGUUGACUAUGAUUUGUCUUGUAGCUUACUCGCUUAUGUUAUUUUACCUACGCUUAGGAUGUUGAGCGCAUGUCUCUCUCU
rnacentral:rRNA from 1 species